CUUGGUCAUUUAGAGGAGUAAAAGUCGUAACAAGGUUUCCGUAGGUGAACCUGCGGAAGGAUCAUUCCUAGAGUUGUAGGCUUUGCCUGCUAUCUCUUACCCAUGUCUUUUAAGUCCUUACGUUUCCUCGGCGGGUCCGCCCGCCGAUUGGACAAUUUAAACCAUUGCAGUUGCAAUCAGCGUCUGAAAAAACUUAAUAGUUACAACUUUCAAAACGGAUCUCUUGGUUCUGGCAUCGAUGAAGAACGCAGCGAAAUGCGAUAGUAGUGUGAAUUGCAGAAUUCAGUGAAUCAUCGAAUCUUUGAACGCACUUGCGCCCCUUGGUAUUCCAUGGGGCAUGCCUGUUCGAGCGUCAUUUGUCCUUCAAGCUCUGCUUGGUGUUGGGUGUUUGUCUCGCCUCUGCGUGUAGCUCGCCCCAAAACAAUUGGCAGCCGGCGUAUUGAUUUCGGAGCGCAGUAAUCUCGCGCUUUGCACUCAUAACGACGACGUCCAAAAGUACAUUUUUACCUCUUGACCUCGGAUCAGGUAGGGAUACCCGCUGAACUUAAGCAUAUCAUAAGCGGAGGAA
rnacentral:rRNA from 1 species